rnacentral:rRNA from 1 species
UACGUAGGGUGCGAGCGUUGUCCGGAAUUACUGGGCGUAAAGAGCUCGUAGGUGGUUUGUCGCGUUGUUCGUGAAAACUCACAGCUUAACUGUGGGCGUGCGGGCGAUACGGGCAGACUGGAGUACUGCAGGGGAGACUGGAAUUCCUGGUGUAGCGGUGGAAUGCGCAGAUAUCAGGAGGAACACCGGUGGCGAAGGCGGGUCUCUGGGCAGUAACUGACGCUGAGACGCGAAGGCGUGGGGAGCGAACGGG